rnacentral:lncRNA from 1 species
CUUUUACUAAAGCAUGUCGAUAUUUCUAGUCUCCCGGUGUCAUCAUACUUAUUCACUGACCUCUGUAUUUUGAGUAUUCUGUCCCUGCAAUAGGUUUAGAACCAUGGUCAUGCAUUUAUAAGUUACAAUAUUUGAGUUGUUUGUGUUGUUUUACAUGGUUGAUUAAGAGCUCUUGAGAAACUUGACAGUGCAUCGAAUUGCAAAGUGGAAAAUAACCGUAAAGUACAAGCUCCAUAUACAUGCUCCGCCCCGAUAAAGGUGUGUACAAAACAAGUCGUAAUACUAAAUAUUCAGAAAAUGUAACAUGUUUUUUGCUUGUUCUAACUGAUGUCUUGUUACGAGAUUCUUACAUUACGAGUAUGCAAAUCACUCGAAUCCUGAUUACACGACAACAAAGAAAGCUUCAGUAAGGUUCCAGUUGAUCAAUCAGCGAGAAGAUUUCUAGUUUGCAUUGUUUGCAAGCAGAUUGUCAAAUGUAUGUAAUCACAAUUUUUCC